GGAUCGGCCGACUAACUCAAUGAUAAUUGCUCCGUCUCUAAGCAGUUUGAAUCUAUAAAUAGAAUAACAAAAGGAAGGAAACGAAAUUUUAAACUGAUUUCCGCCAUUACAAAAAUAACAUGAAACCUACAGUUCACGACACAUCGCAUAGGAAUUUAAAAUAAAUAUUAGGCCUAUAGGUUUAAUACAUAUUGCAUAGAAUAUAGAAAUUUAGAUCUAGUGUUCUGUGUUUUCCGCACUCGAGAGGAAAGAGGUUGCAGGGAACUUAGAGACUAAUCUUUGCCAACAUACUGGAUUUCUGGUGAUGACAAUAGGAGCAGAUAGUAUGCGGCUCAGCUAAUACUAAAAACAAUUGAUUUUAGUAAUUAGUGGACUAUGAGUGUGUGUUUGGCCAUCCAGAUUUCAUAACUACAACUGAUGUUCAAUUACAAGGGAUAUUAAUCAGUCUCCGUGGACUAUACACUGUGCCUAGUUUCAUCCUCAGAGACUGAUGUGUAAGCUUAAAGUAAAGACAUCAAAGUAUCAGCUAUCAAGAGGAAGAACAUUCAAAAUCAUAUUGUGAUACACAAAUCAAGCAAGUCUAUGACCAGCAUUAUGAUACAGGCCAAGAAAAAGCUGGAUAUUUGAUUGAAAGGGUGGCACAAAAAAGAUGGGUUAUCACUAGGGAAACAAGCUCGGAAUACAGUUCACUGUUGGGACAUCAAGCCAAAUACUUCUAAACUUAUUUGAAUCAUUUUUGCUGUUUAUUAUAAUUCAUCCAAUUGUCUUAUUAAAUAUAUAAAUUUAUAUAUAUAUACACAAUUCCUAAUAUAGAAUUUCUAAAAAUGUUUUAUUAUAAUAUUUGAAAAUGAAACAAACAUGUUCCCAGAACACAGCCACAUAAUGUCAACAUAUUCCCAGAACACAGCCACAUAAUGUCAACAUGUUCCCAGAACACAGCCACAUAAUGUCAACAUGUUCCCAGAACACAGCCACAUAAUUUCAACAUGUUCCCAGAACACACAAAAUGGCAACAUGUUCCCAGAACACACAAAAUGGCAACAUGUUCCCAGAACACAGCCAAAUAAUGGCAUCAUAUUCCCAGAACAAUGCCAAAUAAUGUCAACAUGUUCCCAGAACACAGCCAC